rnacentral:lncRNA from 11 species
GAUGUACUGAUACUUUGUCAGGAAAAAAGAUGCAGAGAAAUCUAUUGCUGUGAAUGAUGGCUUGAUUCAAUGGCCCUCUCUGCCAUUGUCCAUGGCAUGCCUGAACAACGGUAGGAUUAAACACUUUGAACAUAACACAGUGCAUUCUAUUCAUUAACAAAAGCUCCUGGAAUGAAAAGAGAAACAAACCUCGAGCGCUCCACCUUCUUUCUGUUCAACCAGGAAACCAUAAGAAGCGAAUGAAAAAAGCGAAGAUUUGGACUAGUAUCACCUCUACCUGUCCAAGACUCAGAGCUCUAAACUGACAAGGAAGAAAUAUUGCUGGCAUGGAUCUCCAUCAUUUCCUGACGGUCCGCCUUUUGCUCUUAUGGCUUCAGAAGGCUCGGAUCUGUGAUGGUGAAACCACAACUCAGAGCACAACUCUUCCUGAAACAACUACAGCAAGUUUCUCAACUACCAUGACCAUGAUAGGAACCAGUACUUUGGCAGAAGUGGCCACCACAACUCUAAGAGAAAAUAACAAUACUAUCAGUACCACCGUUGAAACCACAAGUUCAAUAGAGCCAUCUUCUCAUGUUCCGGACACAUCGAUUACCACGUCUGAAGAAACAUCAGUCACUCCAGAACCAGGAUACUUCUCCUCCCCUUCAGGUGAAACCACAAGUCUUUUAAGUCGGACUACAUCAACUCAACGUUCCCCAUACAUGGUGGAGACCACAGACGAAAUGACAAGCAUCCCUUUCACCAGAUUGCCAUCUGAAAUAACAACUGAUAUGACUAGUCCCAUUAGCACACCCGAGGAGUCGCUACUCACACCUACAACAGCACCGACAUCCGAUUCCUUUGCACCUCUUGAAACAACAACCACCACUGGCAUUUCAACAGAUGAGGAUACUACUAGUUCUUCAGCAGAAGUAGAUUCCAGAACUAUUGAAGAUACGACUCCUGCCACCAGCUCCUUCUUUACCAUCUCAUCCGUUGACACAUCAGCCUUCCAUAUCUCUACAGAUGUCACUUCAACAGCCCUCCAUUCAGUUACAUCACCACUUGAAGCAACAACUGCUGAAUCUCCAUCUACCUUGAGUCCCACUCCAGAACCCACUUCAUCUACCUUGAUUUCCACUCGGGAACCUACUUCACCUGCCUUGGACACCACUCCAGAAUUCAUUCCAUUUACUUUGAGCACCUCUCCAGAAACCACUUCAUCUACCUGGAUUCCCACUCCAGAAUCCUCUUCAUCUGCCUUGAGCACUACUUCAGAAUCCACUACAUCUACCUUGAUUCCCACUACAGAACCUACUUCAGCUCCAGAAACCACUCCAUCUACUUUGAUUCCCAUUCCAGAACCUACUUCACAUGCCUUGGACACCACUCCAGAAUUCACUCCAUCUACUUUGAGUACCUCUCUAGAAACCACUUCAUCUACCUGGAUUCCCACUCCAGAAUCAUCUUCAUCUACCUGGAUUCCCACUCCAGAAUCCUCUUCAUCUACCUUGAGCACUACUUCAGAACCCACUACAUCUACUUUGAUUCCCACUCCAGAACCUACUUCAGCUCCAGAAACCACUCCAUCUACUUUGAGCACCUCUCCAGAAACCACUCCAUCUACUUUGACUUCUCCAGAAACCACUUCAUCUACCUUGAGCACUACUUCAGAACCCACUACAUCUGCCUUGAUUCUCACUACAGAACCUACUUCAGCUCCAGAAACCACUCCAUCUACUUUGACUUCUCCAGAAACCACUUCAUUUACCUUGAGCACUACUUCAGAACCCACUACAUCUACCUUGAUUCCCACUCCAGAACCUACUUCAUCUCCAGAAACCACUCCAUCUACUUUGAGCACCUCUCCAGAAACCACUCUAUCUACUUUGACUUCUCUAGAAACCACUUCAUCUACCUUGAGCACUACUUCAGAACCCACUACAUCUGCCUUGAUUCCCACUACAGAACCUACUUCAGCUCCAGAAACCACUCCAUCUACUUUGAGCACCUCUCCAGAAACCACUUCAUCUACCUUGAGCACUACUUCAGAACCCACUACAUCUACCUGGAUUCCCACUCCAGAAUCUACUUCAUCUGCCUUGGACACUACUUCAGAACCCACUUCAUCUACCUUAACCACCAGUCCAGAACCUACUCCAUCCGCUUUGAGCACUAUGGCAGAUACAACCUCUGCCACCACCUCUGCCUCUGUCAGCUUAGCCGUUGAAACUCCAUCUACCUUCAGAACCACUGUAGAAUCUGGUUCAAUAGCCCUCACUUCCCUUACGACAGUUAAUGCCAGUCAUUUUUUUACCACCUCACCCCUUGGAACAACAUCUGUUUUUGCCAUCACCCCAGAGGUGACCCCAACAGCUCUCCAUUUACUUACAACAACCCUUGAAAAAAUAACUUCUACCAGCAUUUUUGAAGAUCAGAACACAACUAGGACCUCUAGAGAACCAGCUACCAGCAUUAUAGGAGAUACAGAUACUACUACCAAAGACCCUUCACCAACUUCCACGACUAUGUUGAUAAAAAUGGCAACUACUAUAGCCAAAUCCAGUGCCAGCAGAAUCACCACCAAAAUUUUGGAAAAAGUGACUUCCACCCCAGCAGAUGUGACAACUACCAUCACCACUAAAGUGACUGUCCCAGAAACCUGGACCUCACGAGCCAAAACACAAAGACCUCCAGCUACCACCUCAGAAAGUUCAGUAUUGCCACCUGCUAAUACCACGCUGGGUGGACUAGCAGUCACCACAAAAGUCCAAACCUCAUCAGGUACCACCACAUCCUGGCCAACCAGCCAACAGCCAUUGACACCUGACGUAGGGAGGGUCCGAUUCAUCUUGUCCAUGCGCCUGGCCACAUCCAUGAACAUCACGGACCCCGCCGUCAGAAACGCCAUUGUGAAGAAGUUUCGUCAAGAUUUGGAUGCCAGGUUUCCCGGUGCCGGCUUCAGGUUAAAAUGGGUAGAGUAACAGGAGGUUGAAUGGGAAAUCAUUGGAAGACUCACAACUUUCAGAAAUGAAGAUAGAAGGAAUCCAAAUGGGAGACAGAAGAAUAUUAAUAAUCAUUGUCAUCCAAGCAUCGGUUCUGAUACAAUGGUGUGCAACCAUUUUGGUCUCAAUCCAAGCAAUAUUCUAAUAUGGAAAUGGAUACGUUUCAUGCAGCAGGAAAAUAAAAUAUGGUAUAAACAAGUUUCUAUGCAGUUGGCAAUAUGGACUUUAACCAGGAAUAAGAUGAUUUCUUCAAACAAAUCUAUGAAGGGAAAGAUUAAUAAACUGAAAACCCCUA